GCCUGGCUGGCUCAACUGGUAGAGCAUGCGACUCUUGAUCUUCUUGGGGUUGUGAGUUCGAGCCCCAUGCUGGGUA
rnacentral:tRNA from 1 species